AGUGAACGCUGGCGGUAGGCCUAACACAUGCAAGUCGAACGGCAGCACAGUAAGAUCUUGCUCUUACGGGUGGCGAGUGGCGGAUGGGUGAGGAAUACAUCGGAAUCUACUUUUUCGUGGGUGAUAACGUAGGGAAACUUCCGCUACUACCGCAUACGUCCUACGGCUGAAAGCAGGGGAUCUUCGUACCUUGCGCGAUUGAAUGAGCCGAUGUCGGAUUAGCUAGUUGGCGUGGUAAAGGCCCACCAAGGCGACGAUCCGUAGCUGGUCUGAGAGGAUGAUCAGCCACACUGGAACUGAGACACGGUCCAGACUCCUACGGGAGGCAGCAGUGGGGAAUAUUGGACAAUGGGCGAAAGCCUGAUCCAGCCAUACCGCGUGGGUGAAGAAGGCCUUCGGGUUGUAAAGCCCUUUUGUUGGGAAAGAAAAGCAGCAGGUGAAUACCCCGCUGUUCUGACGGUACCCAAAGAAUAAGCACCGGCUAACUGCGUG
rnacentral:rRNA from 1 species